AUAUCUCUUUACUGAUAAUGAUUUACCUCCAUCCCCAGACAAUCUAUGGAAUGUUAGCAAGAAACUCCUCCUCCGCCCGCCAUCUCAACUGUUGUGAUUAUCUCUCUUCCUCUAGGCUGUCUUUGAAGUGGCCAAGGUCCAAACCGACAUAGAAAAUGUAAUCAAGUAAUGUUAUCACUAGUUUUCUUGCAUAAGAAUGAGAGGAAAAGCAAUUGCACACAAGAUAUGCAAAGGUUUCAUGAUGAUCAAGGUGGAAACUGGACAGAUCAGUGUCACUCAGCUGUAAUUCAAAGACAGAGCCUGAAAAUUCAACUGUAUUUUCUGGAAAACCUUCUUUUCCAGAACUAGUUCAAAGUUCUGUCACAGAGCCAAUCACUCUGACAAUCUAGCAUCUCUGAGUGGUCCUAUGAGGGCAGCGCCAGUGAUCACAAGUCUCAAAAUGAAAACCCACACUGUCCAUGAAUAGACAGUAAUGUGACAGUGUUUGGAUAUAUCGUACAGCUCUUACCACUUUUUCCUUUUCUCUGACUACUGUGGGUUAGUGUGCAAAUACAUCUGAAACAGAAGUUCCGCACACCACAUGACCGAACAGGCAAGCCAUUUGUCUUCUGUCUCAUUAUUUUUUGAUGUCCUGUUCACCUUCCUUCAAAAUUAGGAUGGAUGGAUUUAUACAAAAACUCCAGCAUCAGCUGCUUCUGCCAAUCUUAUUGCAACCCACUUCAAUUUAAUUUUCCAAAGGUGUCCAAAUCUAUGCUCCAGACAAAGUAGAGAACCAUGGGAAAACUACUGCUGCACCUAAUAAGCUGCAGGAAGCCAUAGCAAUCUAACAAAAUAACAGCCAAAAUAUUCUGAAUGCAGUAACUGCUGAGUAUGAGGCACCAAGAAUAUUUUCAUCCUUUUCACACAUCAGCCUCCUGUUAAACAAUUGUAAUCAGUUUCCUCAAAGAAUAACCAUCUUUCCUUGUGUGUAAUAACUUGGCUUUUAAAUUGCAAUGUAAAGCAGUCUUUCUCCCUUGCCUUUUUCUACCAGUUUCUUCCCUCUCCUUGCUUGUAACAUAAUAGACUAUCACCACAUCAUGCUUAUUGAUCACUUAUAUUGUGUGAGCUUAUUUUUAUCUCCAGACUCUCUUCUCUUGUUCCUCACAGUUGAUGUGGUCUCUUGUCUCUUCCAUUAAGCUUGAGAGCUUUUCAGAGCAGGGACCAUGUUUUCCUAACUGACUGUAUACAGCACCUAGCACAACCAGGCCCAAUCCUGAGUGGGGUUUUGGUGAACUAGUGCAAUGCAAACA